rnacentral:rRNA from 1 species
AAUAUGGGACAAUGGGGGCAACCCUGAUCCAGUCAUGCCGCGUGCGUGAAGAAGCACUUCGGUUUGUAAAGCACUUUAUGUCGGGAGGAAGGGCUCUAGACUAAUACUCUGAAGUUCUCAAGUUAUCAACAUAAUAUGCACCGGCUAACUCUGUGCUAGCAGCCGCGGUAAUACAGAGGGUGCAAGCGUUAAUCGGAAUUACUGGGCGUAAAGCGCGCGUAGGUGGUUCAGUAAGAUGGGUGUGAAAUCCCCGGGCUUAACCUGGGACCUGCUUUCAUAACUGCUGAGCUAGAGUACGGUAGAGGGUAGUGGAAUUUCCUGUGUAGCGGUGAAAUGCGUAGAUAUAGGAAGGAACACCAGUGGCGAAGGAGACUACCUGGACUGAUACUGACACUGAGGUGCGAAAGCGUGGGGAGCAAACAG